rnacentral:rRNA from 1 species
CCUACGGGCGGCAGCAGUGGGGAAUAUUGCACAAUGGGGGAAACCCUGAUGCAGCGACGCCGCGUGAAGGAAGAAGGAUUUCGGUAUGUAAACUUCUAUCAGCAGGGAAGAAAAUGACGGUAACUGACUAGUACGCCCCGGCUAACUACGUUCCAGCAGCCGCGGUACUACGUAGGGGGCAAGCGUUAUCCGGAUUUACUGGGUGGAAAGGGAGCGUAGGCGGUGCAGCAAGUCAGCAGUGAAAGCCGGGGGCUCAACUCCGGGACUGCUUUUGAAACUGUUGAACUAGAUCGCAGGAGAGGUAAGUGGAAUUCCGAGUGUAGCGGUGAAAUGCGUAGAUAUUGGGAGGAACACCAGUGGCGAAGGCGGCUCACUGGACUGUAACUGACGCUGAGGCUCGAAAGCGUGGGGAGCAAACAGGAUUAGAUACCCUAGUAGUC